rnacentral:rRNA from 1 species
GCAGUCGAGCGGACUUCUUAAAGCUUGCUUUUAAGAAGUUAGCGGCGGACGGGUGAGUAACACGUGGGCAACCUGCCUUACAGACUGGGAUAACUCCGGGAAACCGGAGCUAAUACCGGAUGAUCAAAUGGACCGCAUGGUCCGAUUGUAAAAGUUGGGAUUUAUCCUAACACUGUGAGAUGGGCCCGCGGCGCAUUAGCUAGUUGGUGAGGUAACGGCUCACCAAGGCAACGAUGCGUAGCCGACCUGAGAGGGUGAUCGGCCACACUGGAACUGAGACACGGUCCAGACUCCUACGGGAGGCAGCAGUAGGGAAUCAUCCGCAAUGGGCGAAAGCCUGACGGUGCAACGCCGCGUGAACGAUGAAGGUCUUCGGAUUGUAAAGUUCUGUUGUUAGGGAAGAACAAGUGCCGUUCGAAUAGGUCGGCACCUUGACGGUACCUAACCAGAAAGCCCCGGCUAACUACGUGCCAGCAGCCGCGGUAAUACGUAGGGGGCAAGCGUUGUCCGGAAUUAUUGGGCGUAAAGCGCGCGCAGGCGGUCUCUUAAGUCUGAUGUGAAAGCCCACGGCUCAACCGUGGAGGGUCAUUGGAAACUGGGGGACUUGAGUGUAGGAGAGGAAAGUGGAAUUCCACGUGUAGCGGUGAAAUGCGUAGAUAUGUGGAGGAACACCAGU